rnacentral:rRNA from 1 species
AUGAACGCUGGCGGCGUGCCUAAUACAUGCAAGUAGAACGCUGAAGGAGGAGCUUGCUCUUCUGGAUGAGUUGCGAACGGGUGAGUAACGCGUAGGUAACCUGCCUGGUAGCGGGGGAUAACUAUUGGAAACGAUAGCUAAUACCGCAUGACAACAGUUAUUGCAUGAUAACUGUUUAAAAGGGGCAACUGCUCCACUACCAGAUGGACCUGCGUUGUAUUAGCUAGUUGGUGAGGUAACGGCUCACCAAGGCGACGAUACAUAGCCGACCUGAGAGGGUGAUCGGCCACACUGGGACUGAGACACGGCCCAGACUCCUACGGGAGGCAGCAGUAGGGAAUCUUCGGCAAUGGACGGAAGUCUGACCGAGCAACGCCGCGUGAGUGAAGAAGGGUUUCGGAUCGUAAAGCUCUGUUGUAAGAGAAGAACGAGUGUGAGAGUGGAAAGUUCACACUGUGACGGUAUCUUACCAGAAAGGGACGGCUAACUACGUG